rnacentral:tRNA from 1 species
UAGAGAUAGUUUAUGAUAGAAUUUUUGAUUGUUGAUCGAAAGGAAUUUUCUUUAAG